rnacentral:ncRNA from 2 species
ACCUAGACCCGACAAAAACGGAAAGCCCGGAGGUUGAGGAACGAAGCCGAGGACUUGAAGUGAUGGCGGGAUUAUUG